ensembl:snRNA U1 U1 spliceosomal RNA
AUACUGAACUGGCAGGGAAGACAGUAUGAUCAUGAAGAUGGUUUUCCCAGGGUGAGGCUCAUCCGUUCCACUCCACAUGUGUUGACCUCUGUGGCUUCUCUACCUGUGUAAAGCUCAAUUGCAUAAUCUGUGGUAGAGGGGGACUGCAUUUGCAUUCACCUC